CAUCAAAUGGGGGUCCGUGAUCUCUUUUAUGUCAGCUUAGGGAUCCUCGAUGUGAAAGGUUUGAGAACCACUGACCCAGACAAUAGAGCUGCACACCAUGUUUUAAAAAGUGAGUCAAGUUAACAUUAGUAA